GAUGAAGAACGCAGCGAAAUGCGAUAAGUAAUGUGAAUUGCAGAAUUCAGUGAAUCAUCGAAUCUUUGAACGCACAUUGCGCCCGCUAGUAUUUUGGCGGGCAUGCCUGUCCGAGCGUCAUUUCAACCCUCAAGCCCCCGGGCUUGGUGUUGGGGAUCGGCGAGCCUCCGCGCCCGCCGUCCCCUAAAUCUAGUGGCGGUCUCGCUGUAGCUUCCUCUGCGUAGUAGCACACCUCGCACUGGGAAACAGCGCGGCCACGCCGUUAAACCCCCAACUUCUGAACGUUUGACCUCGGAUCAGGUAGGAAUACCCGCUGAACUUAAGCAUAUCAAUAAGCGGAGGA
rnacentral:misc_RNA from 1 species